AUUGAACGCUGGCGGCAGGCCUAACACAUGCAAGUCGAACGAGUGGCGGACGGGUGAGUAAUGUCUGGGAAACUGCCUGAUGGAGGGGGCUAACUACUGGAAACGGUAGCUAAUACCGCAUACCAUCAGAUGUGCCCAGAUGGGAUUAGCUUGUGGGUGGGGUAACGGCUCACCAAGGCGACGAUCCCUAGAUGUUCUGAGAGGAUGACCAGCGAAAUGGGAAUUGGGCAACGGUCCAAAUUCCUACGGAGGGCAGCAGUGGGGAAUAGUGCACAAUGGGCGCAAGCCUGAUGCAGCCAUGCCGCGUGUAUGAAGAAGUCCUUCGGGUUGUAAAGUACUUUCUGCGGGUAGGCGUUACCCGCAGAAGAAGCACCGGCUAACUCCGUGCCAGCAGCCGCGGUAAUUC
rnacentral:rRNA from 1 species